AGUUAAUGUCUGGUAAUUAAAUUGCUCAUUUUCUUUAGAAAAAACAAUUAAUUCUGCGUUGGAUUUAUUUUAUUUCCAAGAGUCUUUUUUUUUUGUUUGCCUUUUGCGUUGGUUUAACGCUAAGUUGUUCUCAUGUUAUCCUCUCUUUUUUCUUUCUGUCGCAAUAGUCCAAACUGGAAUCGCAAAAUGAAAAAUUAAGACAUUGCAGCAUUAGUGUCAACAUCAAUAACAUGAUCUUCUUUCCGUUUGGAGAUUUACUACAAAAUGAACGUGAAAGUUAAAGUAAACACUGAUCAGUUAUUUUGUUAUUACAUUCGGCUCAAAACUUGGUCAAUGAACAAAAAGCUAAAGCUAAUCGGUCUACAGAGUUUUCAAAAUUUUGGUAUCAUUUUGGCACUCUUCUAAGUAUUACGUAUUUGCCGAACACAUUCUUCUCCUGCCACUUGUAAGGGAUGAAGAACGAUCUAUACUUUGCUGGCGAUAGCUCUCUGUCCAGAUAAGGUAACACCGCUAUAGCCUG